rnacentral:rRNA from 1 species
GACGAACGCUGGCGGCGUGCCUAAUACAUGCAAGUGGGACGCAAGGGAACACACUGUGCUUGCACACCGUGUUUUCUUGAGUCGCGAACGGGUGAGUAACGCGUAGGUAACCUGCCUAUUAGCGGGGGAUAACUAUUGGAAACGAUAGCUAAUACCGCAUAAUAUUAAUUAUUGCAUGAUAAUUGAUUGAAAGAUGCAAGCGCAUCACUAGUAGAUGGACCUGCGUUGUAUUAGCUAGUUGGUAAGGUAAGAGCUUACCAAGGCGACGAUACAUAGCCGACCUGAGAGGGUGAUCGGCCACACUGGGACUGAGACACGGCCCAGACUCCUACGGGAGGCAGCAGUAGGGAAUCUUCGGCAAUGGGGGGAACCCUGACCGAGCAACGCCGCGUGAGUGAAGAAGGUUUUCGGAUCGUAAAGCUCUGUUGUAAGAGAAGAACGGGUGUGAGAGUGGAAAGUUCACACUGUGACGGAUCUACC